GGUGAUUCUCAGGUGAUGCACCCCAGAAUCGGGCUCCCUCCUCUCUGGUUCCAAGUGCAUCACCCAUGAACCACA
rfam:Myotis davidii contig122651, whole genome shotgun sequence.